rnacentral:lncRNA from 1 species
ACUACAAAAAUUUAUCGGAACAGUAACGGAAAAUAGUAACGGAAAAUAUCUGUUACUGAUUAGUAACGGAUUAAUAACGGAUAUCAUGUAAAGAACAAAAAUAGUAACGGAUUAAAUAAUCCGUUAUUAAUCCGUUACUAAAUUCUGUAACGGAUUAAUAUCCGUUACAGAAUUGGUUCAACGGGCACAAAAGUAGUAAUGGAUUAACUAAUCCGUUACUAAAUUGUUUUCAAUUCAGUUUAUUUAGUAACGGAUAAACUAUCCGUUACAGAAGUUAAAAUUAGUAACGGAUGUUUCCGUUACUAAAAUUAAAAUCCCUAAUAUACGAAAUAGGGUAUUUUCCCUUUCUCAAUCACACAGAUUUACUUCUCCUUUCCCGGCAUUNNN